CCCCGCUGCGGAGGCGGCUCGUCCUCCUCGGACUCCGAGGCGUAGUCGUACUCGCGGAGCCUGCGGUCCUCGGCACCGGGCUGGGGCCUCUCCGCCGCCAGCGAGCUGCGCCUGCCCGUCUGCCGCCCCAGCCCCAGCCGCCGGUAGCGCUUGUUCUUCUGCUGCACGAUUUUCAGGAUGAGCUCCUUGCCCCAGAUUAACCGAGCAUGGAGACAUUGCUGUGAAUGAGACAGACUGACAGACAGCCCUUCCUGCUCCCCACUCCGGCCGCAUGCUGACAUCCCCGGGGCCCAGUCUGGGGCAAUUCUAGGACGGAACAAAGGUCCCUGACUCUGGCUGGGUCUGGGCUGCUGUGCCCAGGAAACGUCAAGGGUUUCUGGAACUGCCAUCGAAGCAGGAAAAGCCUUCACUGGCAAAGACCUCAUGAGCUCCGAUGCAGCAGCUCAGAGAGGUUAAGCGAGAUGCGGUUAGCUAAGAGGAGUCACACUGGAUUACGGGGGCUCUACAUCCAAAGACAUGUGUCCUUAGGAGAGGCCCGUGAAGAGAAGACAGACACAGGAGGAGGCCACGCGAAGACGGAGUAAGGUGGCCACGAGCCAGGAAUGCCUGGGACCUCCAGGGGCUGGAGGAGGAGGAGGUGGGAGGGACCUUCUCCAGGGGCCUGAGCAGGAGGUGGCCUUGCCCACACCUGUCAGGUCAUCGCUUCACUGCAAACUUCACCACGAACUGCACCGUGAACUUCACCGUGACCACGUGACCUGCACUGUCAACGGCAUCAUAGACGCCACUGUGAACUGUGUGACCUGCCCCGUGAACUUCACCGUGAACAGUUGGGCUUCCCUGAUCUGCUAAGUCGCCUUCCUUUCCCCACCCCCACAUCCAAUCCAUCAGCAGCUCUGCCUUCUAGAACCCAGCCUUUUCUAGUAUCUGUUCUGAACCCCCUGACUCUCAUCUCCCACUGGACACCUGGCAUCCCCUUCCUGGGCUCUGCUGCACACCCUGCUUCACCAUCAUCCAGCAGCCAGAGCCGGCCUGGAAGACCUGCGCUGGGCCCACCCCCCAGAGCCCUCGAACGCCCUGCCCUGCCCUGCCCCUGCCAGAUGGCCACCGCACCUGUUGCACUCAGGCCUCCACUCACAGGCCACUGAGUGAAGACCUCUGAUCACCCUGCCCAAGCUGCCUGGACGCCCUGCCCGCACACCCUGCUUCACCAUCAUCCAGCAGCCAGAGCCGGCCUGGAAGACCUGCGCUGGGCCCACCCCCCAGAGCCCUCGAACGCCCUGCCCUGCCCUGCCCCUGCCAGAUGGCCACCGCACCUGUUGCACUCAGGCCUCCACUCACAGGCCACUGAGUGAGGACCUCUGAUCACCCUGCCCAAGCUGCCUGGACGCCCUGCCCGCACAUGUGGGCCCCGGCCUGCUUUUCUGAGCUUUGUUUGCAUUUUCCUCACGCAGUGCUGCAUACGUGUGAACACAUGCAUUUUGCAUCUCCAUUCAAAAGGUGUGCAUCUCCAUGGGGUGCACAUGGCCUAUGAGGAGAGUGUCCUCCACCCUGAACACCCAGGACCCCUCCCCGGCUGGCCCCUGCCCCUGGUGAGGGUCUCUUCCUCCCACACUCCCAACUGCUGCCCUGUGCACGUGGGUGACCCGCCUGUGUCCUGGUUGCUGUCCCGAGGACACAGGUGACUGGCCUGUGUCCUGGCUGCUGCCCUGAGGACUCGAGUGACCAGCCUCUGUCCCAGCUGCUGCCCUCCCACUUUCACGUUUGUCCAGCCGUGCUCAGUCUCUGUUCAUCCUCCAGUUCUUGAGUGUCUCUGAGGGAAGGAUGGACAUCCUGCCUCUACCUCCAUUUCACAGCUGGCCCAAAGAGACCCCAUCAUCAUCGCCUCUUUGCAGGUGGGGAAACUGAGUCACCAUGAGGUCAGGAACUGGCCCUCCCCGAAUGCUGACCUGAGCCUGGACACAUCACAUCACAGGUGGGAGAGCCCCCAACUCCAGGCCACACUCCCGGGGUCUCUGGUCCCAUGACCCUCCCCACAGCAGAGGGGACCCCAGGGAGAAGCUUCCUUGCAGGCCCAGCCCCAACCCCAUCUCCCCUGCAGCUAGGGAGGGUCCCCUGCUGGGCUGACCUUCAGCCCACACAAGCCCCAGCUGCUGGCUUCAGUGAGGCUGGAUAGGAUACAACAGAAAACCCCUCCCUCCGCGCUUCCCUGGGAGUGUUUUUCUUUCAUCAUUUGGAGAAAAAGUAGGGAAGAAAUGAAGAAAGAGGGAUA
ensembl:lncRNA